AAUAUAAAACAUUGAACAUUUUGAAAGGUUACAGAACUCUCAACACUCGAAUCUUUCACAGGACAUAAAAUAAGUCGUCAUAAAGGAUACACAAGUGUACUGGACAGAAAGAUGAUGGGCUUUAAAGGUUUGUUCCUCCUCUUUGUGUUUUGUCUGGCAUACAUUCAAACUCAGGCAGAGGACAACUGCGAUGAAAACGAAGUUCCGGUAGACCCAGAAUGGAAGGACUGGACAGUCAUAGAUGGAGAAGAUAGAGUUGUGGCGUCAGGCAGCACUGCGUCUUCCUCUAGCAUGAGCACCAGAAUCCUGUUUGGACUAAUAGCUGUUACUCUGUGGUUUGUUAGGGGUUGACCUCACGCAGAGUAUGUUGAUGGCAGUCUACAGCUUUCAAGCAUCAUGCAAUAAAUAUAUGCAUUUAUA